GAUCAUGGCUCAGGAUGAACGCUGGCGGCGUGCUUAACACAUGCAAGUCGAACGAAGAUACUUAAAAUGAGAGCUUCGGCAGGAUUUUAUUUAUCUUAGUGGCGGACGGGUGAGUAACGUGUGGGCAACCUGCCUUGUACUGUGGAAUAAUCAUUGGAAACGAUGACUAAUACCGCAUGUGGUCUUUGAGAGGCAUCUCUUGAAGAAGAAAGGAUUUAUUCGGUACAAGAUGGGCCCG
rnacentral:rRNA from 1 species